AACUAACAAAAUGCACCGCUGGGAUUUGAAUCCAAAAUGGACCAAAGCCUGUUUUUUCCCAUGAGGCGAAGUUGAACUUCAAAGCACCCACAAAUCAAAACAUCCCUAAGAGACGUGCUGAGGGAGCAAGGAUGUGUCCUCACUUUGCACCAAGAGUGACCACGCCAUUGCGCCUCUACUGGGAGGGUUCCUGGCCUGAAAGACGCCUGCGUGCAACGGCCUUGGGUUGUGCCAGGAGCCUUCUGGAAUGUCCCCCAGGCACGGCGGACCCAGAGCCAAGGGCAAAGCAUCCCCAGUUCCCCAACCUGGAAACUCCGAGCUGGCCAAGAUGAUGCUACUUCCCUUCUUGAGCGCAGGGCUCUUGAGAUACCUGCCCUGCUCUCCCUGAGUCCCUGCGACACUGCGAGGACCCGCCGCGCGCGCAGUACCACACUCACCUCACUGGAGCCCCCCGGCCCCUGCAGCGGUGGCGGAGGCGGCGAGAAGUGCGACACCCUGCUCCUUACCUUGCUCAUCAUGACUAACCCCCGGGACCCCAGCAGCUGGGCGGGCCUCUUGGCUGCCCGCGUGACCUAGGCCUUUGGCGCCAAAGGGAGGUUCCCACCCCCUCCUACCACCCCUCCCCUGGCUGCCCCUGGGCAGCUCUCCAUCCUGGAAGAAUCGAGCACUCCCAGAGUGGAAUCCGGAAAGAAAGGCGUGCCCCUCCCUGACCUCUGGCCAGAGCAUUGCCAUGUUCCUUAAAUUCCAAUUAAGAAGACACAGAGAGGAGCCCAUUUCCACGUCUCCAGCAGGAAUGUCAACAUGGAUGCCAGGAGGGGUCUCAACCCAGCAAGGAGUCCUGGGAGCCUCUGUGAAUGUUCCUGUGGCCUGUGGUGUGGACUACGUGAGAGGUGUCUAUGGAAUCUGCCUGAGGCAGGAUGCCAACAGACAAAUGAGGAGCACUAAUCAGCUGCACUGAGAGUCACAGAAUUGAGACCUGCAACGGAUCUUGGGCAUCAUUGUCUUCAGUUCCUUCAACCCACAGAAGAGGAAACUGAUCACAAAAGAGCAUCGGUGCUUUUUCUAAGAUCCACAGCUGGUUAGAGAAAGAGUCAGAGUUAACACCCAAAUCCCUGCAGCAUCCUGAAAUCACAGAACCCACCUGGUCUGGCAGGUUGGAGAUCCAGGAAAGCUGGUGGUGUAAUUCAGUCCGGGUCCAAAGGCCUGAAAACCAGGGAAAAGGAUGGUGUAUAUCCGAGUCCAGGGGCAUAAGAAGAUGAGAUUCCCCAGUUUAGCAGUGAGACAGCCAUCUCAUCAACAAUUUCGAGAAUCAUUAAUGUUAAUAAGUAAAAAAGUAACGUAACUUACCCCACAAACCAGAGUGUUUGUGAAGUGAAAGGUGCUGCUGCCGCAGAUAAUCCUGGGAAUCCCACUCUUGCCUGGGCUACAGCAAGCUGCAGGGGAAUGUCACUCCCAUCUUAAUACGAAAAUACUGAACGAUGUACAAAAUCCCAACUUUCCUGGACUCAUCCGAGAGCUGAGACCACAUGGCAAGCUGGAAACUGAAUUUCACAGAGGGGAGAAAGCCCCUCCAACCCCAGGAGAGUCAGGAUGCCUGAACUGUUUUGCCUUUGACAGUGGACGGGAGGAAGAGGUGCUCUCAUAGAGUGGGGGAGAAGAUGUUUCAAAAAUAAUAUAUAUAAUAUAUAUGCCAGUAUACCAGUCUACAGUAACUGGAGCCCCCCACCCACCCAGACACAAGGGGGUUUUACCCACCCCCAAGCUCCUCUCCAGUGUCUCCACUGGGUGCUCUUGAGAAAGACUGGAGAGAGUCCCUUUUGGGGACACAGGAUACCCGAGGAGGUUGUCGCUGCUGUGUCUUGCUGCUCAUCUCAUAAGAAGCAGGAUCCUAAAGCGGUUGGGGAAGAAGCAGCAAACUCUUUGGUCUCCAGUGCUGUGGAGGAAGGGUGGGAGCAAAGCCAUGUGCCUUUAGAGGAAGGACAGCACAUCUUUCUCCUCAUAGCAGUAUUCAAACAAAGAUUUGCUGUUUCCGAGGAAAGCAAAAGUAGAAGCAAAAGCCAUCUGCCCCUUGGGAGAAGCAUGGAAACCCUUUGGGGUCUGAAUGCUGUCCGAAUAGCAAACAAAGGUCUGCGAGUCCUGGGAAAGAAGCAGGAACCUCUCUGGACAAGGGAACCCAUCCGUGCAAUCCAGUUGAUCCACUGCUCAGGGCACAGAGCAGGGUGGCAUAUGGUGAAGAGUGGAUUUAGGAGGGGCAGGAGAAAAGGCCCAGCACAAUGAAAAGAAUGAGGGGGGUAUCAAGAGUAUAUUAAAGGAACAAGAGGCUAUGAGAAACAGCCCAAUAGGCUUGAAAAAUAAUGAAAUGAGAUGAUAAACAUGAAAAAUUAAAAAAAUCCAAGUUAUAUAUUCAAUUCAGUUGAUAAACAGCAGAUUAGAUAAAUUGAUACUUUAGUUGAUGGAUAACCAGCACAAGAGAAAAUUAAUGAAGGGGAAGAUAAAUUACCCACAGGAGAGCACAGGGAAACAAAUAAAUGAAAAAUAUGAAAGGAAGGCUAAGAAGCAUUGAAUG